GCCAGGUCGGGCAGAGCAUCCGCUCUUCAUGAACAGAGCGUAGGGCCGCAAGCCUGCGGACAGGUCGUCCGACCUCUGACCUGACGCCGCCCAUGACCUCUGACCUCACGCCGCCCACGACCUCUGACCCUCCAUUUCGCCUAUAUAUCACCAUCUGAGGUGAUAGCCGAAAUCGUGGACCAGAACACCUUCGAGAACUUUGCCAACCAGCACCUUCCUGCGAUAGUAGAGAUCGUGCCGGAGUUUCUCUUUGGCAACCCAGAUCAUGUGCCAGUACGACUCUGGACGACCUUUGUGCAAAGCCUAGUCAAUGGUCAGCUUGUGAACGUCACGCACUACAUAGCAGCGGUGUGCGUAGAAAAUGUAGGCUUCUUUAGUCGUGUUCUCAAUUGGAUGCUCACCCAACCGUGGAAUGCCGGAGGAGCCGAGGCGGCGGCCGGGGCAGCCGAGGCGGGGGAGCCGGGGGAGCCGAGGCCGGCAACUAGAGCUCUUGCGACUUCAUUUUUUUUUUUUUGCGACUUUAAAUUUUCUUUUGCCACUUAACUUUGUAAUAAAGUUUUGUUGAACUUCG